rnacentral:rRNA from 1 species
UACGUAGGGUGCGAGCGUUGUCCGGAAUUAUUGGGCGUAAAGCGUGCGCAGGCGGUUUUGUAAGUCUGUCGUGAAAUCCCCGGGCUCAACCUGGGAAUUGCGAUGGAGACUGCAAGGCUAGAAUCUGGCAGAGGGGGGUAGAAUUCCACGUGUAGCAGUGAAAUGCGUAGAGAUGUGGAGGAAUACCGAUGGCGAAGGCAGCCCCCUGGGUCAAUACUGACGCUCAUGCACGAAAGCGUGGGGAGCAAACGAGGAUUAGAUACCGUGUA